UCCCCACGACUGCUUCACGCGGCACCUUCUCUUCCAAAGCUCCUGUCAGGUCCCCACACCCACUCUCAGCUGAGAGACAUCAUGCCUAGUUUUCAAAGAAAAUCAAAGCAACCAGAAGUGAAUUUCCCCAGUUGCGGCCCCCAGGUGUGUCUACGUCUGUGCCCACGUGUGGCGUGUGAUUCUCUCCAGGCUCCCUGCACACCUUCCUGUCUCUUCUCCCUGCCCCCCUUCCCCAGUCCCCACUACCUCCUUUUUCUUUCAGCAUCUUUGGAGAGAUUCUGAAUGGUUCCUGUUUGAUGACGCCUCAUCUUUGUCCAGGAACUGGAAAUCGUGGGAGCAGAGGAAAUGGGUCUCAGGAAGAAUGGUGCUGAGCCAAGCUGCCCUGUGCCUGGAAGGGGGGCCAGGAGAGUGCUAGAAACGAAGAACCAGCACCCUCCACAAGGUACUGAAGACCCCAAGACUCUUCACCUCUUCUCAGCUGAGUUCGUUCCUUCCCCGCCCCUGCCCUCUACUUGCCCGCUGAUGCGAUGGUUAAAGCGCACGUCAAGGGGGAUCUGACCAUCUGAGCCCUAAGGCCGUGCCACGGUGUCACAGAGAGCUGUUCUCCUCCUUCUGUGCCCUCCCGUCCUCAGUGUUCCUGGCCCUGCAGCAGCGCUCGGACCCUUCGACACCCUCCACUUGCCCAGCAGCUCAGGUCUCGCGGGUCGAGGUGACUGGCUCCCUGAGCUUGCUGAGGGAGGGACAGUGACGAGCCCCCCGUAUUUUGCAGCCUCGCAUCCCCUCCAGUUUCUGCCAAUGUGCCAGGCCCAGGUAUAGAGGCCCUGGGCGCCAGGCGCUGGCCCUUGGGUCCCUGCCAGGAGGCGCUGCACGUCCAAAAGUGCCCACUCAGUGAUUUCUCUGGUUCACUAGCGCCCAGUGAUGGGAACAGGCCAUCAGGGCGCCUCCAGUAACAGGCCCUGGAGGACGAAGGAGAGGCUCCUCAGGCCCCGUUGCCCACAGGAGGGAGAGGAGGAAGAUUAUAACCCACCACCAUUCUGGACCUUCCUUUCAAGUAGCCCUGAAGAUCCAAACAACGGGGCUGUAAAUCUUUUCUAAUGAACCUCCUCACCCACAAGGGGCUGGCCUUACCCUCCUUUUGUAACAGCCAGACUCCCGCCCUACCACUGGCUUUGGAUGCUCCAGCCUCUGCUUCACGGGGACGCCGCCUCCAUAGAUGUGGGCACAGGAGGGCCUCAACCCCAGAUCUGAAACCCCAGGUCUGAGCAAACCCGAGGUCUUCUGGGACCUCCGUUCUGGGACAAUGAGGCUCCUCCGUGUCUUCCUCACCGCUGUCUUGAUCCCCUUCCAGACAGCACUAGGGCACUCAAUUUUGAAAGACCCUGCCAUCUUCGGGGUGGAAUCUGCCUGAAGCAAGGGACACCAAGCUGUGAGCCCUUCAGAGGACCCUGCCGGGCAUUCACUGUUUACUGCAAAAUAAAGCCGAGCUGAUGGAGGCAGCCCAGCUGAGGAGCCCGCUGAGAGACCCUGAGCAAGUCUCGUCUUGUGCAAAUAAAAGAAGACAGUUCUCACAUCUACACAAUCGAAUGUUUUAUCAUUAGGACUGAUGUUGUUUUCCAUGGCAGGGUAGGCAGUGGGAGGGAGACAGUUAUUAUGCUUUAAAUUCUUGCCUGGAAAAUUCCAUGGACAGAGGAACCAGACAGGCUACAGUCCAUGGGGUUGCAAAGAGUUUGGCAGGACUGAGCGACUGAACACAAAUGUUGCAACAGUGUUUUCAUUCACAGAGCAAAUGUGACCCUUAAGCCACUUUGGCCCGAGGCUGGAGUCCUGAGAGAUGUGCGGUCAUGCGGUGUCUUCCUUGUCCACGUGUCUUGUCCAAGGUGUGGCCCCGUCUGUCGCUUGCUGAGUAGGCUGCCUCUCCAUGCCGGUGUCACUCUCCUCCCUCUGGGGAGGGAGCAGGCCUUGACAAGACCACAGUUCUCUGCUGUUUACAGAGCAGGUUUAGGGCAGGAGGACGGAGACAGGAGGCAAGAUGCCCAGGAAGCGGGGGACAAAGAGGAAGGACAAGAGACACGAGCAUUCUUCCAAAACCUGAACAAUCUCACAGGAAAGAAAGAGUGUGACUGGCAUUACGGUGAUGUGACGAGGACCAGUUCUAUAACUGGGUCCCAAUCAGUGAUGAGUGGGCUCCCUGGUGGCUCAGAUGGUACAGGAUCGGCCUGCUAUGCAGAUUUCUGGGUUGGACAGAACCCCUGGAGGAGGAGACAGCAAUCUAUUCUAGUA